AUAAAUGUUUUCCUUUUGCCUUUCUUUCAUCUGUUCUAGGCAAGGUAGAAAGCAUCAAUCAAACAUGGUGCAAUCCAUAACAUAUUUAUCUUAUGAGUUCUGACCAAUCCCUUGCUGUAUCUGUCAUGAAAUUUUGGAUUUAGGGGAUCUGCCGUACCUGAUCCUUGCUGUAUCCAUACUCAGGUAAUGUAUUUUUAUACAAUUUUCUCCAAGAAGACAGUCAUGCAUGUGAUUUAGCAGUGGUAAGAACUUUUCUUUGGCUUACUUCACCAAUUUGCUACUGAGCCAUUGAAUUGCCUAUGGAUGCGUUGGUAACUUUGAAAUCUUUUGCCAAAGAAGAAGAAAAAGAAGGAGACAAGUUUUAUUCUUUUGCCAGAGAAGAAGGUGACAAGUUUUAUUAUUUAUAGGUUUUAACCCUUCCACUUUCAUGCUUGAUUAAAGUUCUCCUCUGCCCUUUGAUUUUACAGAUGCGGAUUGGCUUGUUACCCGAGGUUGUAUCGUGGUGAUCCAGUGCUAAAUCCUCUUACACCUUGGGAUAGACCUCCAUUGAAAAACAUUUUCUGUAUAUAUGGAAUAGAUAUGAAGAUUGAGGUAAUGUGCUAUUUUAUUUGAAUAAAAAUUAUUUCUAAAUUCUUCUUUUUAAAAAAAUUGUAAUUUGUUAUGGCUGAGCCAAUUGUGGCACUGCAUCUGUCUAACCCUGACAUUUCUGAGUUAAUUUUUGGAUUCUCAUUGGGUAUGAGCGAAGUUUGUGAGUGUUUAACUCCUGAUACUGUAAAUAAUAAGUAUCAUGGAUGUGAAGACUGGUGGAGGCAAGUUUUUUCAACACAAGGCUUAUUGUAAAAAGCAUAGCUUGGAUCAGAAAAAGGUCAUAUCAAUUGCUUUUGAAGAAUGAAUAUCUUAUGACGCAUUGUCUUUCAUAGGAUAAAAGUCUUAUGUUACAAUGCAUAAGUUUAUUUCCCCUGCCUCAUCAUGGUUUUUAUCAAUUUCUAUAGGCUGAGAGUUUGCAACAUAGACUUGAUGAAGUCCGCUGCAUUAAGCAAAUCCGGGUCAGUGAGAAUGUACUAUAAUCCACAUCUUGUCUGUUUUCUCAUUCAUUAUCGGAUCCUCCUUUUGGGUUUCCUUUCCAGCACUUCCAACUCUCAAUUCUACUCUCUUUCCUUUCCCUACACACAUCCAUCUGCAUUUCAUUUCUUGUUUGAGAGUUUCAUUUCAUGUGUUGCAACCAGUAGGCCAGAGCUACCUGUUGAGGUUGUAGGGCCUACUAUGCACAAUUCGAAUGGAGAAUGCUGGUGGAGGCAAUGAUGACGUUGGCCUGGAAGUAGCAAAAGAUGGACGGGUAGUGUUAUCUCAGGGUCCGCCAAGCACGACGGCACCGGUGAUGACAGGCGCAACCAUGACUUUGCAUUAUUUGUGGAACCUAGUGUUGUGUAACAGUUUGAUUAAGUUAAACUUUAAAUAGACUGUUGUU